AUUUAAGUAGUUUAAAAAAAAUUUUGAUUUGUGAUAUCAAGGAAAUAGAUAAAAAAUUAAAUUUAUCUUAAAUA
rnacentral:tRNA from 1 species